rnacentral:rRNA from 1 species
AUUGAACGCUGGCGGAAUGCUUUACACAUGCAAGUCGAACGGCAGCACGGACUUCGGUCUGGUGGCGAGUGGCGAACGGGUGAGUAAUGUAUCGGAACGUGCCCAGUCGUGGGGGAUAACGUAGUGAAAAUUACGCUAAUACCGCAUACGAUCUAUGAAUGAAAGCGGGUGAGCGCAAGACCUCGCGCGAUUUGAGCGGCCGAUAUCAGAUUAGGUGGUUGGUGGGGUAAAGGCCCACCAAGCCAACGAUCUGUAGCUGGUCUGAGAGGACGACCAGCCACACUGGAACUGAGACACGGUCCAGACUCCUACGGGAGGCAGCAGUGGGGAAUUUUGGACAAUGGGCGAGAGCCUGAUCCAGCCAUUCCGCGUGCAGGAUGAAGGCCCUCGGGUUGUAAACUGCUUUUGUACAGAACGAAAAGGUUUCUACUAAUACUAGGAGCUCAUGACGGUACUGUAAGAAUAAGCACCGGCUAACUACGUGCCAGCCGCCGCAGUAA